GAUGAACGCUGGCGGCGUGCUUAACACAUGCAAGUCGAACGAAGCAUUUAAGACAGAUUACUUCGGUUUGAGGUCUUUUAUGACUGAGUGGCGGACGGGUGAGUAACGCGUGGGUAACCUGCCUCAUACAGGGGGAUAGCAGCUGGAAACGGCUGGUAAUACCGCAUAAGCGCACAGUACCACAUGGUACAGUGUGAAAAACUCCGGUGGUAUGAGAUGGACCCGCGUCUGAUUAGCUUGUUGGCGGGGUAACGGCCCACCAAGGCGACGAUCAGUAGCCGACCGGAGAGGGUGACCGGCCACAUUGGGACUGAGACACGGCCCAGACUCCUACGGGAGGCAGCAGUGGGGAAUAUUGCACAAUGGAGGAAACUCUGAUGCAGCGACGCCGCGUGAGUGAAGAAGUAGUUCGCUAUGUAAAGCUCUAUCAGCAGGGAAGAUAGUGACGGUACCUGACUAAGAAGCGCCGGCUAAAUACGUG
rnacentral:rRNA from 1 species